CCUACGGGUGGCAGCAGUGGGGAAUAUUGCACAAUGGGGGAAACCCUGAUGCAGCGACGCCGCGUGAGUGAAGAAGUAUCUCGGUACGUAAAGCUCUAUCAGCAGGGAAGAAAAUGACGGUACCUGACUAAGAAGCCCCGGCUAACUACGUGCCAGCAGCCGCGGUAAUACGGAGGGGGCAAGCGUUAUCCGGAUUUACUGGGUGUAAAGGGAGCGUAGACGGCAGGACAAGUCUGGAGUGAAAUUCCGGGGCUUAACCCCGGAACUGCUUUGGAAACUGUGAGGCUGGAGUGCAGGAGGGGUAAGCGGAAUUCGUGGUGUAGCGGUGAAAUGCGUAGAUAUUAGGAGGAACACCGGUGGCGAAGGCGGCUUACUGGACUGUAACUGACGUUGAGGCUCGAAAGCGUGGGGAGCAAACAGGAUUAGAUACCCGGGUAGUC
rnacentral:rRNA from 1 species